CUUCUUAUUCAGACAACCUCCUGUAUGAUCCCCAUAGCAAUGGCUAUAACCCUGAUGGGUGACAAAUGUUGAAUUGGUAUUGCUAAGGGGAGUGCUUCAGUCAGAGAAAGAAAAAAAAACUUGCAUUCUUUUACAGCUGUUACAAGAAAAGUCAAUUUAUUAUCACUGGUUAGUUUUUGAACUUGAGGAACAUGGUGGCUAACUCCCUCAUUUUAGGUUAGAGAUACACACGUCAGCUAAGAACAGGGCAAAGUGAGAAACAUUACAUUUAUAGAAAAGAGAAUAUGAGAAAAGUUGACCCUCAGAGUUCAAGUGGUAUAAAGUGGGAAACAUUCUAGGAGAAAUGUUUACAAUUCAGUUUUUGGCUAUUAUGAGCUAUGGUAUUUUCUGAGUAGGCUAUUUAUUAAAUGAAAACCUUAUGCAUCACUAGCAUUAGGUGUAAAUCCUAUUAUGCAUAAUAGGGCAACUACUAGAACUCGUUUGCUAAUAUUAGAAAAUGAUAGCAAGAAAUCUGUACUCAUGUUUUCUAGAACAUAAAAAAUUGAAACAGCAAAAUAUUUAUUUUUAAAAAGUCAACAAAGACAGGUCAUUCAUUUCUGAUGUUGGUAAUAAACACGUCAGAGAAAAAACAUUGUAAGGCACAUUACAAGAGUAAAAUUUUGCAAUUCUCUUGAUUAUUGCAACUCUUUUUAUUUUAUUUUAUUUUAUUAUUAUUAUACUUUAAGUUUUAG
rnacentral:lncRNA from 10 species